CACGUAGGGGGCAAGCGUUGUCCGGAUUUAUUGGGCGUAAAGAGCUCGUAGGUGGUUCGGUAAGUCAGGUGUGAAACCUCCAGGCUCAACCUGGAGACGCCACUUGAUACUGCUGUGACUGGAGUCCGGUAGGGGAGCGUGGAAUUCCUGGUGUAGCGGUGAAAUGCGCAGAUAUCAGGAGGAACACCAGCGGCGAAGGCGGCGCUCUGGGCCGGUACUGACACUGAGGAGCGAAAGCGUGGGGAGCAAACAGG
rnacentral:rRNA from 1 species